AGAGUUUGAUCCUGGCUCAGAUUGAACGCUGGCGGCAGGCUUAACACAUGCAAGUCGAGCGGAGAUGAGGUGCUUGCACCUUAUCUUAGCGGCGGACGGGUGAGUAAUGCUUAGGAAUCUGCCUAUUAGUGGGGGACAACAUUCCGAAAGGGAUGCUAAUACCGCAUACGUCCUACGGGAGAAAGCAGGGGAUCUUCGGACCUUGCGCUAAUAGAUGAGCCUAAGUCGGAUUAGCUAGUUGGUGGGGUAAAGGCCUACCAAGGCGACGAUCUGUAGCGGGUCUGAGAGGAUGAUCCGCCACACUGGGACUGAGACACGGCCCAGACUCCUACGGGAGGCAGCAGUGGGGAAUAUUGGACAAUGGGGGGAACCCUGAUCCAGCCAUGCCGCGUGUGUGAAGAAGGCCUUAUGGUUGUAAAGCACUUUAAGCGAGGAGGAGGCUACUGAGACUAAUACUCUUGGAUAGUGGACGUUACUCGCAGAAUAAGCACCGGCUAACUCUGUGCCAGCAGCCGCGGUAAUACAGAGGGUGCGAGCGUUAAUCGGAUUUACUGGGCGUAAAGCGUGCGUAGGCGGCUUUUUAAGUCGGAUGUGAAAUCCCCGAGCUUAACUUGGGAAUUGCAUUCGAUACUGGGAAGCUAGAGUAUGGGAGAGGAUGGUAGAAUUCCAGGUGUAGCGGUGAAAUGCGUAGAGAUCUGGAGGAAUACCGAUGGCGAAGGCAGCCAUCUGGCCUAAUACUGACGCUGAGGUACGAAAGCAUGGGGAGCAAACAGGAUUAGAUACCCUGGUAGUCCAUGCCGUAAACGAUGUCUACUAGCCGUUGGGGCCUUUGAGGCUUUAGUGGCGCAGCUAACGCGAUAAGUAGACCGCCUGGGGAGUACGGUCGCAAGACUAAAACUCAAAGGAAUUGACGG
rnacentral:rRNA from 1 species